rnacentral:snRNA from 1 species
UCACUUACCUGGCAGGAGAGAUACCAUGAUCACGAAGAUGGUUUUCCCGGAGCAAGGCUCAUCCAUUGCACUCCAGGUGUCCUGACUCCUGCAGUUUUCUCAAAUGUGGGAAACUCAGCUGCAUAAUUUGUGGAACAUUGCACUUGAACUCUGCUCU